CAAAAUAUUCUGAAAAGGGUUACAAAGAGCUGAGCUGAAAAUACUUGGAAAUUCUUGCAUAUUUUGGGUAAAAAUUGGUCUGAUUUGAUAAUUUUCUCCCUAUUUUGAAAUCUUCAAAAACUUUCUUGUUUAUUCUGGGAUUCAAAGAAUGAUUUGAAGGCUGCUAGUCAAUGUUCUAUUGCUGGUUUUUGAGUUGAUUCUGUUGCUACUUCUUCUUUGCUGAAUUGCUCUUGCUACUGAUUCAUAACUUCAAGCUGUUAGUGUUGUUUAUUUGCUAUAACAAGGUACUCAUUGCACCUCAUUAACAUCUUGAAAUGAAAGGCUAUGAAGCUAUUGAUUGAGCUUGAAAAUUAGUGAUGCC
rnacentral:lncRNA from 1 species